rnacentral:SRP_RNA from 1 species
UCAGGUCGGAAAUCCAGCAGCGAAAAGCCUUC